CAGCCGCCGCGGGAAAACAGAGGGUGCAAGCGUUAAUCGGAAUUACUGGGCGUAAAGCGCGCGUAGGUGGUUUGUUAAGUUGGAUGUGAAAUCCCCGGGCUCAACCUGGGAACUGCAUCCAAAACUGGCAAGCUAGAGUAUGGUAGAGGGUGGUGGAAUUUCCUGUGUAGCGGUGAAAUGCGUAGAUAUAGGAAGGAACACCAGUGGCGAAGGCGACCACCUGGACUGAUACUGACACUGAGGUGCGAAAGCGUGGGGAGCAAACAGGAUUAGAUACCCGGGUAGUCCCUGUCUCUUAUAA
rnacentral:rRNA from 1 species